AAAUCUCCAAAUUCAAACCCCUCUCCAGUAGGACUUCUGUGAGUGUGAUUAUUGGGGAUUCUUUCGAUGAGCAAAUUCCUGCUCCUCUAAACCAAGUGGUGGCCCAGCUUCAGAAGAAGUUACUGGAGCAGACUUACCCCUCGGCCAACCAGAUCCAUGUUAAAGGAGGGGACCGCAGGAUGAUCUACAAGAGGCCGUCUGUUGUUAGCAAACACCUGUGGAAUCUGGUGUCCCAACGGCAGUCCGAACAGCAGAGCCAAUGACCAUAGAGAUCUAUAGAAGACAUCUAGUUCAUAUGCUCUAAUUUCAAGGUUUGAAUUCUGUGCCAGUGACACACUGAUUCUGCUGCCAAAUGUCUCAACUACACUCACAACUGGAAGAUGAAGUCACAUCACAGAGGUUCCUUGUUUCUUUUUUUCAGGGAUGAUUUUUGACUGGAAUCUACUUGACAUGUGUAUGUCCACACAUGAAACCGGUUUCAAUCGAUUGAUUUUUUUUGUAUACUUUAUUACAAAUAUCAGACCGUUUUGCCUUAAUGUUUGUAAAUAAAUCAAGUCUUCUGAA